GGCAGGGUUUACAGAAAACUUCAAUGAAAUCAGUGCCCAAGGCGGAUUGCAAAUCCGUGUACACUGGUUCGAUUCCGGUACUCGCCUCCA
rnacentral:tRNA from 1 species